UGCGCCAAGCUUCUUCUCUGAGGCUGUUGAGUUGUGGUGGGGCGCCAUAGCUCUGUUGCUUCCUGCACAUUAACAUUAACUAUACUACCUCAGACAGGUAGACAUAUGUUAAUACCUUGGUUGUGCAACACCUUGGCCUUUUGCAC